CCUACGGGAGGCAGCAGUGAGGAAUAUUGGUCAAUGGACGCAAGUCUGAACCAGCCAUGCCGCGUGCAGGAAGACGGCUCUAUGAGUUGUAAACUGCUUUUGUACGAGGGUAAAUCCCGAUACAUGUAUCGGGUUGAAAGUAUCGUACGAAUAAGGAUCGGCUAACUCCGUGCCAGCAGCCGCGGUAAUACGGAGGAUUCAAGCGUUAUCCGGAUUUAUUGGGUUUAAAGGGUGCGUAGGCGGUUCGAUAAGUUAGAGGUGAAAUCCCGGGGCUCAACUCCGGCACUGCCUCUGAUACUGUGGGGCUAGAGUUUAGUUGCGGUAGGCGGAAUGUAUGGUGUAGCGGUGAAAUGCAUAGAGAUCAUACAGAACACCGAUUGCGAAGGCAGCUUACCAAACUACGACUGACGUUGAGGCACGAAAGCGUGGGGAGCGAACAGGAUUAGAUACCCUGGUAGUC
rnacentral:rRNA from 1 species